UGCAGGCAUGCGCGGGGUAAAGCUCAGGUCGUCCGAAAGGACGGCAGCCCUUAGCGGGUGGGAUCCUGAGCCCCGGGGCCUGCAUUUUU
rnacentral:sRNA from 1 species